rnacentral:rRNA from 1 species
CCUACGGGUGGCAGCAGUGGGGAAUAUUGGACAAUGGGCGAAAGCCUGAUCCAGCCAUGCCGCGUGUGUGAAGAAGGCCUUCGGGUUGUAAAGCACUUUCAGUGGGGAAGAAAGCCUUGGGGCUAAUACCCUCGAGGAAGGACAUCACCCACAGAAGAAGCACCGGCUAACUCCGUGCCAGCAGCCGCGGUAAUACGGAGGGUGCGAGCGUUAAUCGGAAUUACUGGGCGUAAAGCGCGCGUAGGCGGUCUGAUAAGCCGGUUGUGAAAGCCCCGGGCUCAACCUGGGAACGGCAUCCGGAACUGUCAGGCUAGAGUCCAGGAGAGGAAGGUAGAAUUCCCGGUGUAGCAGUGAAAUGCGUAGAGAUCGGGAGGAAUACCAGUGGCGAAGGCGGCCUUCUGGACUGACACUGACGCUGAGGUGCGAAAGCGUGGGUAGCAAACAGGAUUAGAUACCCCAGUAGUC